UACGUAGGGUGCAAGCGUUGUCCGGAAUUAUUGGGCGUAAAGAGCUCGUAGGCGGUUUGUCGCGUCCGCUGUGAAAAUCCAGGGCUUAACCCUGGACCUGCAGUGGGUACGGGCAGACUAGAGUGCGGUAGGGGAGAUCGGAAUUCCUGGUGUAGCGGUGAAAUGCGCAGAUAUCAGGAGGAACACCGGUGGCGAAGGCGGAUCUCUGGGAAUGUCCUGACGCUGAGGAGCGAAAGUGUGGGGAGCGAACAGG
rnacentral:rRNA from 1 species